CUAGCAUAUCAAUAAGCGGAGGAAAAGAAACCAACAGGGAUUGCUCUAGUAACGGCGAGUGAAGCAGCAAUAGCUCAAAUUUGAAAUCUGGCGUCUUCGACGUCCGAGUUGUAAUUUGUAGAGGAUGCUUCUGAGUGGCCACCGACCUAAGUUCCUUGGAACAGGACGUCAUAGAGGGUGAGAAUCCCGUAUGCGGUCGGAAAGGCGCUCUAUACGUAGCUCCUUCGACGAGUCGAGUUGUUUGGGAAUGCAGCUCUAAAUGGGAGGUAAAUUUCUUCUAAAGCUAAAUAUUGGCCAGAGACCGAUAGCGCACAAGUAGAGUGAUCGAAAGAUGAAAAGCACUUUGGAAAGAGAGUUAAAAAGCACGUGAAAUUGUUAAAAGGGAAGGGAUUGCAACCAGACUUGCUCGCGGUGUUCCGCCGGUCUUCUGACCGGUCUACUCGCCGCGUUGCAGGCCAGCAUCGUCUGGUGCCGCUGGAUAAGACUUGAGGAAUGUAGCUCCCUCGGGAGUGUUAUAGCCUCUUGUGAUGCAGCGAGCGCCGGGCGAGGUCCGCGCUUCGGCUAGGAUGCUGGCGUAAUGGUCGUAAUCCGCCCGUCUUGAAACACGGACCAAGGAGUCUAACAUCUAUGCGAGUGUUCGGGUGUCAAACCCCUACGCGUAAUGAAAGUGAACGGAGGUGAGAACCGCAAGGUGCAUCAUCGACCGAUCCUGAUGUCUUCGGAUGGAUUUGAGUAAGAGCAUAGCUGUUGGGACCCGAAAGAUGGUGAACUAUGCCUGAAUAGGGUGAAGCCAGAGGAAACUCUGGUGGAGGCUCGCAGCGGUUCUGACGUGCAAAUCGAUCGUCAAAUUUGGGUAUAGGGGCGAAAGACUAAUCG
rnacentral:rRNA from 1 species